CUUAUUAAAAGGACUUGUUUCCAAACGGAGAGAGAAAUACCUUCCAUUUGGAAGAAAUGAGCCCUUCAUUUCAGUCCUACCAGCAAGUCAGCAGUACAUGGGGCAUUCUGGCCGCAUCAGGACGCAUUUGACAAUGUCUGGUCCAAUUCUUGUCCAGAAACCACUGAUGGCUGUACCAGUAAGGCUGCUGCAUUCUUCCCAUGGGUCUACUGUGCAACCAAAAGAAUAUUGGGGAAAUGAUGGUAUGUCUUCCCAGAUCAAGACAUAAAAGGCAUUCUACCAUCUUGCCCUUGCACUCUCGGGGAAGCCAGCCACAUUGCCAAUUAAUACUGGAUAUACCCAAUGGAGAAGACCAUGAAGUGAGGGUCUAAGGACUCCUGACCACAGUCAACAUUCAUCUGAGUCCUAAAAGAGACUCCUUGUUCCAGUCCCUCCAGCCUGAGUCUCCUCUUUAGUGAUUGUAACCUCGGAUGCCAUCUUGACUGCAACAACCAGCCAGAACCACCCAGCUAGGCCAUUCCCAGAUCCCUGGCCCAGAGAAGCUGUGUGAGAUAAUGCUCAGGAUAUUCUGAAUAGAAACAUCAGUUUGGAGGUGUCUGAAUUAUCCAACAAACAUUUCUGGAGGGUUACAGGAAAGCGGGCAAAUCCUCAGCCCUCGGACCAGACAUUGGUUAUAUGGCCGUUGGGAGGCAAAUGGCUUACGCUAAAGUAAACCAUAUUUGGUAAUUAAGAUGUUGUGCAUGGACCCCGACUGCUUAUCUCUUCGGAAACAUCCUACUAAGAAAGAUCAGAAAAAUCACAGAGCUGAGCUGUCAAAAGCUAUGUGUGGACUGGGAGGGAGGACAGAGGGGAGCACGGUGAGAGGGACCUGGGCCUUGAACAAGGUAUAAAUGAUCCCCAUGUCGUCUUGGAAGAAUAAGUAAACAGCCUUUUCCAGAAUGGCAGCAGCCCGAUGAAUGGAGAUAUGCUCUUAUUUCUUCAUGUGAAUUGAAAAAGACUUCCAUUGAUCAGCAACCUACUGGGUUCUCCUAUAUCCUGCCCACCCUGUUGCACCUUACAAGCCUACAGCUGUCUGGGGCUUAAUUAUGCAUGCACGCCUGCCAAGCCCAGAGGCCAGGGGGGCCUCAGCAGACCACACUUUCUCACUUGUUUCUGUGGUCAUUAUGACUGGGGCAGAUCUCUACUUCUGAACCCAUUUUGCAGCUUUUCUUCCAGAUGGUUGGGAGCUUAAAAAAAGAAGAAGAAGAAGAAGAAGAUGAAGACGAAGAAGAAGAGCAAACAAGAAUAGUUAACCAGAUGCCGGCAUCUGGGUGGAAACAAAGCAAGCUUAGAGCCAGGCAUGUACAAUGAAAAGGAGUAGCAGGCAGCGGAGCUUCCCCCCUGCUGAAAGAAGGAAAGGGAGACUACGGAAAGCAGAUUUGUUAAGGAUGCACAUCAGAGCCUUCGGGGAAAGCUUUUCCAGCCUACCUGAAGGAUCUCAGUCUUUGAAGAACAAAGCCUCAGGUGAAAGCAUGGAGCUAGGCAAGGCACCGCGCUAAAAAUAACCGAAUUAGUGUUACUCUGAGUUGCCCUUCAUCAAGAGAUGGGCCCACAGAGUAACCAGCUCCUACAGAAUGGCAGGUGCUGCUUGUACCUACAAGGGAGGAAUGGUCAGAGACACCGACACUGUUUUGUAAAUGGAACACAAAAUUAAACGCCCAGGUUGAUCUCAUCGAAAAUCACGGGCUAUUCUGGGCUCUUAAAGCUUUAAAAAAAAAAAAAAUUUAUAGAAAUGUACGGAAACUUCAGAAGUAAGCAGGAAUCCAUGAUGGGAUGAUUUACUGUGACAAUUUUAAGACAUAAAAAUCUCAGGACGCCUGGAUGGCUCAGUUGCUUGAGUGUCUGGCUCUUGGUUUUGGCUCAGCUCAUCAUCUCAGGGUCCUGGGAUGGAGCCCUGGGUCAGGCUCCACUCUCAGCAGAGACACUGCUUGAGAGUCUCUCUCGCACCCCUCCUACUCACGGGCACACGUGCACACUCACUCACUCUCGCUCUCAAAUAAAUAAAUCUUUAAAAAAUA